UAAGCAUUUCAAUAAGCGGAGGAAAAGAAACCAACAGGGAUUGCCCUAGUAACGGCGAGUGAAGCGGCAACAGCUCAAAUUUGAAAUCUGGCUUCGGCCCGAGUUGUAAUUUGUAGAGGAAGCUUUAGGCGCGGCACCUUCUGAGUCCCCUGGAACGGGGCGCCAAAGAGGGUGAGAGCCCCGUAUAGUUGGAUGCCUAGCCUGUGUAAAGCUCCUUCGACGAGUCGAGUAGUUUGGGAAUGCUGCUCAAAAUGGGAGGUAAAUUUCUUCUAAAGCUAAAUACCGGCCAGAGACCGAUAGCGCACAAGUAGAGUGAUCGAAAGAUGAAAAGCACUUUGAAAAGAGGGUUAAAUAGCACGUGAAAUUGUUGAAAGGGAAGCGCUUGUGACCAGACUUGCGCCGGGCUGAUCAUCCGGUGUUCUCACCGGUGCACUCUGCCCGGCUCAGGCCAGCAUCGGUUCUCGCGGGGGGAUAAAGGUCCCGGGAACGUAGCUCCUCCGGGAGUGUUAUAGCCCGGGGCGUAAUGCCCUCGCGGGGACCGAGGACCGCGCAUCUUGCAAGGAUGCUGGCGUAAUGGUCAUCAGCGACCCGUCUUGAAACACGGACCAAGGAGUCAAGGUUUUGCGCGAGUGUUUGGGUGUAAAACCCGCACGCGUAAUGAAAGUGAACGUAGGUGAGAGCUUCGGCGCAUCAUCGACCGAUCCUGAUGUUUUCGGAUGGAUUUGAGUAGGAGCGUUAAGCCUUGGACCCGAAAGAUGGUGAACUAUGCUUGGAUAGGGUGAAGCCAGAGGAAACUCUGGUGGAGGCUCGCAGCGGUUCUGACGUGCAAAUCGAUCGUCAAAUCUGAGCAUGGGGGCGAAAGACUAAUCGAACCAUCUAGUAGCUGGUUACCGCCGAAG
rnacentral:rRNA from 1 species